UUUCAGUCUCAAAAUUCAAGAUCAAUAAUAAAUCUCAAGUAUAAGAACAGAUUUGGCAGAGAGUAUUACUAUUAAAAUUCAAAAUGAAAUUCUUAAUACUCGUUAUUUUGGGAUUCUUCAUUUUACAAUGUUCUUGUAAUAUGGAAUAUACGUUAAAAGGCAGGUGUUAGCUAUGUAGAUAGUGCCAGAUGGCCCUGUUACAUUGCAAUAACAGAUCCUAGUGCUAAAGAAAGUAACAUGCUUCACGCUUCAAGUAAUACGGCCAUGUGCAAAUUUGCCAAUCAAUGUAAAUUAUAUAAGCAGUCACUAAUAAUGAGAGCAAAGGAAGCUGCCGGCUCCAACGAUAUCGUAUAUGUUGCUCACGCUGGAACUGAUGCACAAUUUUUUGACGACAAUUAUCCUGGUUGGAAUAUCUAAAACUAUGAUCAUGAGAAAGAACAAUGCCAAAAAGUGAGCCAGCGUUUUUAUGCAUUUUUAUUUUUUUUUAUUUCCAUUUCAUGUGUAAACAAAUUGAGAAAACAUCACGAGUACCAAAAUAAAAAUUCCCCGGCUCACUCGUUAUAUGAAAAAUUGAUAUCCUUCGUUAUCCGCAAAGAAAAAGAAAAAUAUUGUUAAUUGAAGCAUUUUAUGGACAUACACAAAUAUAGUCAUAAUUCAGUUGUAUUUUAUUUUCAAUUUUCACCGGAUAUAUAAGCAAUAAUAAUUUAAGAAAAGUUUGGUCAUCGACCAAGUUCGGUUAGAUCUUAAUAGUAAUUUUAACUUACUUAAACCUAAAAGUAUCUUUUUAAAGUGAACACAACUCGCUCUAAAUAUUGGCAGGAAAAGAUGUUCUUCGAAAAAUCAAAAAAUGCCAAUUUCAAAGAAAGUCAAUCUCCGCCAAUAUUUAAUAUUGACGGUUUGUAUUUAAUAAAUUCUUCUUCUAAGGUAUGCAAAAAAUUGUUACUUCGUCGAUUUCUCAAUGACUGUAAGUUACAGUCUGUAACUGUAUAAACGUAAAUACUCCAAACAUUGUUUUGUUUUUAUAAUUUAACGGUAUAAUCAUAGUUUCGUCAUCAUCGCCGAUAAGAAAUAUUUUAUGGAGAAAAUCGUGAUUGAAAAAACAAAACUUUGGUUGAAAAUGUGGAGAAAAAAAAAU